UUUGCUGCACCGAAUUCCAUCCUUUUGUUUCUCUAUUCUUCUUUCUUUAUUCUUACACAGCCAAAUCUCCUCUCUCACACCAACAGCCCUCUUCACUCUUUUGCCUUUUCUCUCUCACCGAAGCCGAAUAUCUCUCUCUAAAGAAGAAAUCAAAAUCUUAACACUAAAGUUUCAGUUUCAAAGUUUGUGGCUCACCCUAUUAUAUUUCAGUGCACAGUUUCUUUCUUGGAAGCAACGAGAGUAUUAGAGGUGGCAAGGAAUCUAUGAUUCUCGUUUGAUAGAAUGUAUAGUUCUUUUGUUAUAUAGAAGUUUAGCUCUUUUGUUGUAUAGGAGGAAUCAAAAUGUACUUGAUCCUUUUGAGCACAACUGUAUUUCGGAACCUUAGUUUGUUUUGAACCCCAGUUGGAUCUCUUUGGGGUUAGGUUUGUAAAUAAGAAUUUUGCUAAAUGUUUAGCUAUGUAAUAUUUAUACGAACACCUUAAGUUUUAACUAGGUUGUAAUCUUGCAAAGUUCGAAGCAAUGAAGUUUCAAAAUUUUACAAA